AAUAACUUUUCCGGGGUCAAAAUGGAAUGGGAGUUAUCAACAGCAAGUGUACAUAAAAUCAGAACACAACUGAAAUUAAGCCGCACCAUCAACGGACCCACAUGUAUCGUUCAUUUUCCAAAAGGUGUCUCAGACCUGUUUGAUGAUCGCUCACCGGAUUCAAGCAGUAUGUAUCUCAGGAAUGUAACAUUUCAUUGACAAAUUGGCUGAUACCUCGACGUAUUCUCUCUCUCUCUCUCUCUCUCUCUCUCUCUCUCUCUCUCUCUCUCUCUCUCUCUCUCAAUUUUCUUUUUUUUUUCAGGAAAGCACAUUCCAGUACUACGGUUUCUUCGCAUGUUUGACUUAUCAAUGCAAAUCAAUGAUGCAUCUUUGCCAGGAGAUCCCAAUAUCUAUCUCGAAAAUAAAACGGCCUUUGCUGACAAAUUUAUAUACGUUGCCUCAAGUAAACUGGAAAUUCACCAAAGUUUUUACACGUCAUCUUGUUUGCAUCUACCAUUUGACUGCUACACUACAUUGCAGUACGUUGGGAAAAGUUCGCAUUGCAAAAUGCUUGAAAUCAAAAAUAAAAUCAAUAUGCAAUGGUUUGCAAGACUGUUUCAGCAAAACAUCAGAAUUGACCCGGUCACCAGAAAACCUCUAGAACUCGACCCUUCUUGGCGAGAAAAGUAUGGCCCAAUGUGUACUGGUUCUUCGUUUGUUAUGGAAAAAUUACGCCGACCCGAUAUAUGCGCGGCAAUAGACCACUACAAGAUUCAAACAUCGGACAUUGACAGCCAAAACCACACCAACUGGCUUGCUUAUGUUCAGAUUUGUAUGAAUGUCUGCAAACAAGGUCUAGACCAGAACCUAUUUAGCAAACUUUUAAUUAAGAACGUUGAAAAUGGGUUGAAGGAGUUCCAGAUAAGAUACGAAAACGAGGCUUUGGUGGAUGAAGAGGUCGUAGUUCACGCUUGGGAGACUUCGGGUAGAUGUGAUCAACUAUGUUUUGAGCUAACUAGGGGAUGCGAUGUGUGUAUUCAAGCAACCAUGACUUUUCAUCGAAGUUUAAUUAAUAAUUGUCACUUUUAUUCACAAAAAGCAAAGAUAUAAUUCAGUUAUAUAUAUGAAAUAAAAUACU
rnacentral:misc_RNA from 1 species